rnacentral:rRNA from 1 species
GAUGAACGCUGGCGGCGUGCCUAAUACAUGCAAGUCGAGCGAACAGAUGAGGAGCUUGCUCCUCUGACGUUAGCGGCGGACGGGUGAGUAACACGUGGAUAACCUACCUAUAAGACUGGGGUAACUUCGGGAAACCGGAGCUAAUACCGGAUAAUAUAUUGAACCGCAUGGUUCAAUAGUGAAAGACGGUUUUGCUGUCACUUAUAGAUGGAUCCGCGCCGCAUUAGCUAGUUGGUAAGGUAACGGCUUACCAAGGCAACGAUGCGUAGCCGACCUGAGAGGGUGAUCGGCCACACUGGAACUGAGACACGGUACAGACUCCUACGGGAGGCAGCAGUAGGGAAUCUUCCGCAAUGGGCGAAAGCCUGACGGAGCAACGCCGCGUGAGUGAUGAAGGUCUUCGGAUCGUAAAACUCUGUUAUUAGGGAAGAACAAAUGUGUAAGUAACUAUGCACGUCUUGACGGUACCUAAUCAGAAAGCCACGGCUAACUACGUG